GGUUCCUUCGACCUGCACAUCUUACAUAUGUGAUUCGAGUUCUGCUUGCAAAGCCUGGGCUCGCAAUGGAUUCUGUACCAACAAUUUCUACACUAUUGCACAUAGAAAACAAUACUGUGCUACCACUUGCAGAAUUUGCUGAUUU
ensembl:ncRNA F35E8.18 ncRNA